rnacentral:rRNA from 1 species
GACGUAGGGGGCAAGCGUUGUCCGGAAUUAUUGGGCGUAAAGCGCACGUAGGCGGCUCUGUAAGUCGGAUGUGAAAUCCCUCGGCUUAACCAAGGAAGUGCAUCCGAAACUGCAAGGCUUGAGUACUUAAGAGGAUCGCGGAAUUCCCGGUGUAGAGGUGAAAUUCGUAGAUAUCGGGAGGAACACCAGUGGCGAAGGCGGCGAUCUGGGAAGAUACUGACGCUGAGGUGCGAAAGCGUGGGGAGCAAACAGG